AACGCACAUUGCGCCUUCUGGUAUUCCGGGAGGCAUGCCUGUUUGAGCGUCAGCAAAAACCCUUCAGCAAACUAUUUUUAUUGUCUGCUAGGUAUUGGGCAUGGAGGAAAAGGGCUUCACUGUCCCGCUCCCGCUUUAAACUUGCUGCACGACCGCAAGCUACUGCUAGGUCUAUGGAAGUGGUAUUUACAUAUAUUUUCCAGUAUGAUCAGGCUAGUUUUGUGGCGUUAAAUUUAUGUUGCCUUCUAAAGCAACUGAAGUUUGACCUCAAAUCAGACAAGGAUACCCGCUGAACUUAA
rnacentral:misc_RNA from 1 species